rnacentral:lncRNA from 1 species
AACAAUGUAUGACUGUGAAAAAUGAAGAUAAAAUGAAUUAAAAAAACAUAAUUCACUUUUAAAAAUAGUGAGCUUAAUUAACUUAAAGCAAUAAUACAAAUAACAAUCAGUUUGGCUAUAAAUGAUUUCACAUUCCUUUAUAAAAAUUGGUUGAAACAACAAAUUGUAAACAUUACAAACAUUUACAAACAACCCAUUCCAUUUAUCACAUUUGUAUUGUAAUUGAAUAAUGCAGAGAACAAUGAGUAUUAUGAAAGGUUUUAUAUUACUUUGUAUUACAUCGAAACAGGAAAGAUAACUCAAUCUCCCAUUAAAAAGGUAUUAAUACUUAUUCUACAUACACAUAUGUACAUCUGUAAUACUCAGGUCAAAUAAUAAUUUCCUUAUCAACUAAUGCUUCAUUUGAAAAUUAUAUUGCAAACCCUUUCUCAUACCUCAACUUUUCAAUAUAUAUACAGUCUUUUAAAGAGCAGAGUAAUGAUUUAAUAAAACUAUUUUGCUAUAAACUACCAUGGUUAAAUGUUUCUCUAAUAAAACAAAUCACAAGACCUGUUGUCAUUUAUGAAAGUCAUGGGUAAUUUAUAUAUGUGAGUAAUAAUCACAUGCGGCAAAGCUCUACCUACCUACCUAGUCCUUAUUAUGCCCGGGGGCACAUAGGGCAAAGCUAGUUAUGUUCAAUGGUUGGUACAACUUCUGUACAUACAAAAGAUUUUUUUAAUUAAAAAAAAAAAAUUCAAUUAAUUCAUGAAAAUUUUAAGCUUGUAGAAAGUUUAAAAUAUAUCAACUUCAUUUCAAAUUACAGCAGUAAAUUCUUUUAACACUCAAUACCUUUACAAGAACAUUGUUAUACUACAAUCUGGUUUGUAUCUGAAUCAAAGCUGACAAGAAAAAUUGGAAUAACAAAGAUAAGAUAUACCAUUUACAAACAAUUUAAAGUGUUGUAGUCUUUUUCUUUUUCAGAUCUAUUUUAAGACCCACAUGAACACUGGUAUACUACUGUUGCCUUAAUUAUGCCCCUAUGAUUCUGAGCAACAUCCAUUUUAGCAAAUUAAAGACCAGCAUAGAAUUCCAAUCUGUUUUUAAUAACCUGCAAACCUAGUCGUAAUCCAAGAGGUUUAGGGUUCUUAUCAUCAAAAGAUAAAAUUCAAGUCAGUAUGAGCUUUCAUCCUUUGACUAGUUUGAAGGCAGUAAAAUUUGAACAUUUCAGAUUUGUUCUUGUUCUAUACAUUUGUUUGUUUUACUAUUAUGUGAUAAACUUAGUAGUCAUAGUAGUAUCUGAGAGCAAAAUAAAUUCAUUACACAUGGCGGCAAAUUUGGAAUUUCACCAUUUGGCAUCUUUGGGUGUUCUUUCUUUUUUUAAGAAUAAGACUAGAAAAAGAGAGAUCUAGGAAUUGGUUCCAUUUAAAGUCUGUUAAAUCAAAUGCCAAUUUAAGGACAUUAUUGUCUGGUGGAAAAGAAAAGAUAUGAAUAAAAACAUUUAUGAUUUGUGAUAUAAAAAAAAAAUCAUAUAGAUAGAUUAUUAAUUAUAGAGAUCUACUUUUGAUUAUCAUACAUGAAAGACACUAAAAUUCCAACUUAUACAAAUAAAAAAGCUAUAAAUAUCUUUAAAUAAACAAAAAUAACUAAAUAUACAAAAGAGUUCAAUUGAGGUAUAAACAUUAAUUUGCCAGCUUCACAAAACGACAACUUCUAAUAAUUUGAAUGUCCUAACCAAGCUUACAGCAGAUAUCAUGUAACUAGAGUUACUGUUAUGACAACUAGCUUACUCGACCAUACUCUUGUCAUGUUAUUCACAGUUCAUUAAGCAGCUAAUGUGUUGAAACUAUUACAUAUAUGUUCAAUAAAGUAUAUGAACACAUAAGCCUUUUAAUAAACAAAUAUUUAUAUGACAUGAGUAGGACUAAUUUUGUCAAUUACCAUUACAAUGAACUGACUAUUUACUUCAGCUUCUAGUUUGAGCUUGACAAGGACAGUGAAUUUAGGAAUGUAAAAAGUUUCAUUAAAUUGUCCUUCCUUUCACAUUUAUCACUUUACACAAUACCAAUUUACUAAUUUACUAGUAUACUAGUAAACUAGUAAAAUGUUUGUAUUUGCUUAUUGAAAAGUGUUUCUUUUUACAAAAACAAAUAAUAUAAUGUAGCUAAAAGCAAAG